CCCUCUGUUAACUUUUGUUCAAGCCUGUCUAGAUCUUUUAUCAGUCUAGAAAGAUGUUGGAGAAAAGACAUCAUCCUCUUCUAUAAUCUCCAUCUGUAAUUGGACUAACAACUGGACCAGGGAAAGCAGGCAACUUACUCUCCAUUCGAUCUUGCAGGUCACACCAUGGUCUCAAGAGGGAAAAUGAGUGCUCUAUGGAUUGAACAGAAAAGGUGAAUCAAAACUCCAACCAUCUGUAUGAGGGUCUGGAUGGAUAAAGGAUGCCCACUGGAGCUGGAAAUGAUGGAUCAGGUGGAUCCACACUUGAACCAUCUGUAUGAUGAUCUGCACCCACUGGAUCUGUAAAUGGUGAAGCAGGUUUCUGAAUUGAUGUCAGAUGCAAAGCAGAAGCUUAUUUUCUUCCAGUUUGGCUUCAUUGUGGAAAAAUGCUGGAAACUAAAA